rnacentral:rRNA from 1 species
AUUGAACGCUGGCGGCAGGCCUAACACAUGCAAGUCGAGCGGCAGCGGGGGAAAGCUUGCUUUCCCGCCGGCGAGCGGCGGACGGGUGAGUAAUGUCUGGGAAACUGCCUGAUGGAGGGGGAUAACUACUGGAAACGGUAGCUAAUACCGCAUAACGUCUUCGGACCAAAGUGGGGGACCUUCGGGCCUCAUGCCAUCAGAUGUGCCCAGAUGGGAUUAGCUAGUAGGUGGGGUAACGGCUCACCAAGGCGACGAUCCCUAGCUGGUCUGAGAGGAUGACCAGCCACACUGGAACUGAGACACGGUCCAGACUCCUACGGGAGGCAGCAGUGGGGAAUAUUGCACAAUGGGCGCAAGCCUGAUGCAGCCAUGCCGCGUGUAUGAAGAAGGCCUUCGGGUUGUAAAGUACUUUCAGCGGGGAGGAAGGUGUUGUGGUUAAUAACCGCAGCAAUUGA